rnacentral:rRNA from 1 species
ACAUGUCUACAACAUAGCGUUAAUGCACUAGAUCCCAUUAGAACUCUACAAUUAAGCGCGCUCAAGAUAGAGUAGUACUAGGAUGGGUGACCACCCAGGAAGUCCUAGUGUUUUACAUGCC